rnacentral:rRNA from 1 species
CGGUAAUUCCAGCUCCAUAGCGUAUACUAAAGUUGUUGCAGUUAAAAAGCUCGUAGUUGGAUUUCUGCGGGGACGGAGCGGCCGGUCGCAACUUGCGACUCGAGCUAGCGCUUUCCCCGCAUCCUGCCGCGAACCGUGCUACCAUUAGUUUGGUGGCGCUGGGGAUCGGCUCGAUUACUUUGAGAAAAAUAGAGUGUUCAAAGCAGGCCACACGCCUUGAAUAAGUUAGCAUGGAAUAAUGACUAAGGACUUCGGUUCUAUUUUGUUGGUGUUCGGGACUGAAGUAAUGAUUGAUAGGGACAGUUGGGGCGGUCUGUAUUCCAAAGCGAGAGGUGAAAUUCUUAGACCUUCGGAAGACAAACAGCUGCGAAAGCGUUCCGCAAGGAUGUUCCCUUUGAUCAAGAACGAAAGUUGGGGGAUCGAAGACGAUCAGAUACCGUCGUAGUCUCAACUAUAAACUAUACCAGCUAGGGAUCGGUCAACGUUUAAUUAUUCGACUUGAUCGGCACCUUAUGAGAAAUCAAAGCAUCUGGGUUCCGGGGGGAGUAUGGUCGCAAGGCUGAAACUUAAAGGAAUUGACGGAAGGGCACCACCAGCCGUGGAGCCUGUGGCUUAAUUUGACUCAACACGGGAAAACUUACCAGGUCCAGACAUAGUAAGGAUUGACAGAUUGAUAGCUCUUUCUUGAUUCUGUGGGUGGUGGUGCAUGGCCGUUCUUAGUUGGUGGAGUGAUUUGUCUGGUUAAUUCCGUUAACGAACGAGACCCCAGCCUGCUAAAUAGCGCGGCUGAGCUUUGCUCGGUGCGAGCUUCUUAGAGGGACUAUGAUGCGCGAUAGCACAUGGAAGUUUGGGGCAAUAACAGGUCUGUGAUGCCCUUAGAUGUUCUGGGCCGCACACGGGCUACACUGGCGCCUGCAACGAGCAUAUCAGCUGGCCCGAGAGGGUCUUGGCUAAUCUUUUGAACCGGCGCCGUGCUUGGGAUUGACCUUUGCAAUUGUUGGUCAUGCAACGAGGAAUGCCUUGUAAACGCGAGUCAUCAGCUCGCAUUGAAUACGUCCCUGCCCUUUGUACACACCGCCC